GACAGAUUCAACAACAGAAGGUGGGAAAAAUUAGAAGGGAAAGGCUUCAGAUCUGAAGUCUAGAUGAAUGAGGAUAAAACAGCAGGCUUAAAUUCUGCAUCUCAGCAGCCAAGAAGUAUGGGUAAUAAAUCCUGAAUUCAGACAAGGGGUGCUUAAGAUCAGGAAUCUCAGCCUGCAGGAUGAACCGAGAAACUGAAGAUGGAGAUGAUGUCUGAACUCUGCCAAGAUGCAGAGGAGUGCAGCAGCGUGCCAGAUCCUUGCUGGAUUUGAGCAUAUCAGCCUGAACUUUUUUUCUCGAGAGAAGGGCAUGAGGUGACAGAAGCCAUGUGGAAAAACCCAACUGCAUAAUCCCAGAAAGUACUGGUGGCAGCCAUUAGAGCAUCACCUACAAAAAAGCAGCAGCCUGAAAGUAUGUUUGUCUCCAUUUUUAUGGAAGAAAAUUAUUUCUAUCGUUAUCUACUCCUUUCAACUUUGGUGGCUAGCUUCUUUGGCUAAUGGAUGAUACAGUCAAUUGCCUGAAUAUAUUACAUGUCUGUCAAUACCAUUUCCCUAGAUUGCAGCACCAGUCCAAUUCUUUGGCUCUGCUGGAAGGUGUCCUAAGAGGGGGAAUGGUGGGUGAGCCAGCCGGCCUGCAGGCUGAGUCACCUCGGGAAGGCAGACCGUCAUCUGGCAAUUAGGAUGGAGAAGAAGGAAGUGUGCCAGCAAAACAGGUGAUCUGAGCAAUGCAUUGCACCCCACAUGUCAAAAUGGAUAUUGCACAAUGCUGUGCUAUGACAGAGAGAUGCGGAGAAGAGCAGAAGCAUGUAUUUCCAAAAUCGCCUUCAAAGUAGGGUUAAAGAAAUAGCAACACUCAGCCUAUUUCUUUUCAUGGACCAAUUUAAUACCAAAGCACCUUGUUGGCUUAAAAAUAUGGACUUUGCCAGCUGGCAAAUAGACUCCGAGGAAUAGACACUGACAUGACCACCACCUGGGGCCAGAUGUGCUGUAUAACUGGUGGUAUCAGUGAUGGUCUUCAUAAUGCCAAGCAGAAAAGUCUAGGAAGGAUGGACUUAAAAGAAAGAAGAGAGAAAAAUGAAAACAAGCUGGGAAGAGCUGAAUUCCACCACGAUACCUCAUUUUCCUCAGCAGAAUUAGAACUGCAGAAUUAGCACAGAUUUCUGCUGCUUGAGCUAAUGGAGUGCCACUGCCAGUCACGGCUUGUCAUCCUCUGAGUCAAGCACUCCCAGAAGAGGAUCGCUGAUGAGCAAUGGUGAGAAACAUGAACUGAGGCUUUGCUUCACGGCUGGGGUGACAAGCAAUUGGGUAGAUGUAUAGUCCAGAUGUAAGCUAACCUGCUGCGUCCCCUCUGGCCUCUCACCAUCCUUGCCCUUUGCUUUCCCUGCUUCAUCCCAGAGCUGGUCUCCUCACACAGCAAGUGGAUCCCAGCUCCUGAUCUCCCAAUCUGAUUAGCUCUUUGCUCACUCCCAGUAUGACAGUCUUUGCUCCCAGUCUACUUGGCUUGACUGCCCUAAGUCCCCAAUCCCUCCCCCCAACCUUGUUCCUCAUCUAGCACAGCUCUGGGACCCAGUAUCUAUGGGUACUGUCUGAGAUUUUCUCCAUGGUGCAUUUGUACAACUCCGUUCUCUGCAUUCUUGAUACAAACAACAGGGCUGCUAGGACCAGAGGAAGGCAGCCCCCCUGCUUUCCUUUUGGGUGCCUAGACCUCUGAUGGCUCACGGUAGCAGAUGCCUACCCAUAGCAAAUGGGACCUUUAGGAAAGCUUGCUGUUAAAAUCAAAGUCAUCUUUAUUAAAUGUGCACCAUGACUUUUAAUUCACUUAUUUCACAGGCAUAAAAACAGCAUGGCCCUGACACAAAUCUUCUAUCAGAUUUUAAGUCCUUGCACCAAACUUGUGAGAUGUAGGCUUUGUCACAGAAGACACCAGAAUUUUUAAGCACAGCACAUUUUCCCCUACAUGUCUGAAUUGU